AUCUCGGCCAGCCAGCUUUCUGACACAAACUCCUUUCUUCUCUCAGAUCUACACAGGCUCUUCCAUUGAAUCUGCAGCAGCAGCAGCAUCUAAAGGAGCCUUUGUUUCCCAGGCUGAGCAGUGGAGCCCGGGCAGUUUGUCCAUUUCCAGCAGUGACACAUCUGCUGCUCAGCUACAGGAGAGCCAGGGAGACUUCCUGGAGCAACUGAGGAGAAUGGUGAACAAGGAAAAUCCCGUCACAAAAUACAUUGAACUGGAAAGUCUUGGCAGCGGGGGUUUUGGAGAGGUUUCCAGAGCACUUGACACUGCCACAGGAGGAGAGGUAAAUGUCAACAGCCCCUGCAGCCUCUGCUGCUCUCCAGGCCUUUCCCCACUGCUGAGAGCUGGGGCUGGAGCUUUGAGUAGAGCUGUGCUGAAAAGGCACAAGAAGCACAGACUGGAGCCAGCCUGCAAAUUGCACUUGGAACAGGCUUUGUCCUCCUCAGCUGCCCGUAGGAAGACAAAGAGGGCAGCGGUUCCUUUCAGAGAAGGACGCACCCACACGCUCUCAAUUGCUAAAACAAAGGUGGUGUCUUAGAGCAUCUCACUGCUUUUUGGGGCUACAGCUUCAGAGUCCUGAAGUCUCAUUUCUGGCUGCCAGCAAAUACAUCUGAAUGCUCCUGGUAGUUCCUCAGCCACGUGCAGUGCUGCACUUGGGAGCCACACGUAGGGAGAGAUGUGCAAGAUGUUCCUAAAAGCCCUGAGCCCUGCCCAUAGCCCAGGAUGUAUCCACAGAGAACCAAGGCACC